rnacentral:rRNA from 1 species
UGAACGCUGGCGGCGUGCCUAAUACAUGCAAGUCGAGCGAACGGACGCGAAGCUUGCUUCUCUGAUGUUAGCGGCGGACGGGUGAGUAACACGUGGAUAACCUACCUAUAAGACUGGGAUAACUUCUGGAAACCGGAGCUAAUACCGGAUAAUAUUUUGAACCGCAUGGUUCAAAAGUAAAAGACGGUCUUGCUGUCACUUAUAGAUGGAUCCGCGCUGCAUUAGCUAGUUGGUAAGGUAACGGCUUACCAAGGCAACGAUGCAUAGCCGACCUGAGAGGGUGAUCGGCCACACUGGAACUGAGACACGGUCCAGACUCCUACGGGAGGCAGCAGUAGGGAAUCUUCCGCAAUGGGCGAAAGCCUGACGGAGCAACGCCGCGUGAGUGAUGAAGGUCUUCGGAUCGUAAAACUCUGUUAUUAGGGAAGAACAUAUGUGUAAGUAACUGUGCACAUCUUGACGGUACCUAAUCAGAAAGCCACGGCUAACUACGUG